rnacentral:rRNA from 1 species
UACAGAGGGGGCAAGCGUUGUUCGGAAUUACUGGGCGUAAAGGGCGCGUAGCGGCCCGCUAAGUCGAACGUGAAAUCCCCGAGCUCAACUCGGGAACUGCGUCCGAUACUGGUGGGCUUGAAUCCAGGAGAGGGAUGCGGAAUUCCAGGUGUAGCGGUGAAAUGCGUAGAUAUCUGGAGGAACACCGGUGGCGAAGGCGGCAUCCUGGACCGGCAUUGACGCUGAGGCGCGAAAGCUAGGGGAGCAAACGGG